CCUCAUGGUUAGGGCAUUGCAUGAGUUUGCCAUUGAAUCUUUUCAAUACCUCAUAUAAGGGCUCACCACUAAGUUGAUGAAAUUUUUUUAUUUCUUCUCUUAGAUG
rfam:Capsicum annuum cultivar Zunla-1 unplaced genomic scaffold scaffold188, whole genome shotgun sequence